CCUACGGGUGGCAGCAGUAGGGAAUUUUCGUCAAUGGGCGCAAGCCUGAACGAGCAAUGCCGCGUGAACGAGGAAGGUCUUCGGAUCGUAAAGUUCUGUUGAAGGGGAAAAAGAGCGGAGAGAGGAAAUGGUCUCCGAUUGAUAUUACCCUUCGAGGAAGGCACGGCUAACUACGUGCCAGCAGCCGCGGUAAUACGUAGGUGGCGAGUGUUAUCCGGAAUGAUUGGGCGUAAAGGGUGAGUAGGCGGCCUGCUAAGUCUGGAGUGAAAGGUACCGGCUCAACCGGUACAGGCUCUGGAAACUGGCGGGCUAGAGAGCAGGAGAGGGCGGUGGAACUCCAUGUGUAGCGGUAAAAUGCGUAGAUAUAUGGAAGAACACCAGUGGCGAAGGCGGCCGCCUGGCCUGUUACUGACGCUGAGGCACGAAAGCGUGGGGAGCAAAUAGGAUUAGAUACCCCAGUAGUC
rnacentral:rRNA from 1 species